rnacentral:lncRNA from 1 species
AUAGGUCUAAGGAGGCCCUGCAACAUGUUAGUUCAACAGAUAUCCCAUAGAUAUAUAUAUUCAAGUAUUGAAAUACAUGUUGUGCCUCACAAUAUGCAAUAUGGAAUUCAUGCAGUUUAUGCAACUAUGCAACCAACUAGUAGUUCAAUCGAUACUACUUUUAUUCCUGUUAUUCACAGUUCAACCAAUUGACUUCUAAGUUUUCCUCUAUCUUAGAUUCCUGUCAAUUACAGUUCUGCUCAUAGGGUUUAACCUACUUUUAUAAGCUAUCCACUCGACUCGGUCUUGAGUCAAUCACACGCGGAAUACCGCACAAAGCCAGGCUCAAAGUGAAAGAUGUCUCACAUGCACCUCAGCCCUAAAUCCACUCAACUGGGAUGCAACUAAAACUCAUAUAAUGCAUCAAAUAGUAAAGGUUUACUAUCAUGCUAACGAAUUCGAUCCAUGUUCGAAUAAUAAUGUUCAAUGGCAUUGUUCACUGUUCUUUUACCCAAUCUGUAGCGAAGCCCUAGGGUUCGCCAAUAACUCACCUUUCAAUCCCAAAGUGGGGAGGGAGCUCCAAGUGCACCCAAGCCCGGGACCGUCUGCGGACCUCCAUGUGGUCCGGACCUCCAAGUGGUCCUAGUCGCACGACACUCCGGAGUACUCGACGACAAUCCCCUCCAUGUGGGGAUUGGAUGGCUAUACCAUCCCAAACGCAGACUGUGAGCUAGAUCUAUCCUCUCCAAGUGAGGAUACUCUACAACUAGGGUCAACAACCCAAUCAAAUCCUCUCCAAGUGAGGAUGCUCUACAACUAGAGUCAACAACCCAAUCAAAUCCUCUCCAAGUGAGGAUGCCCUACAACUAGGGUCAAUAUCUCAAUAACUCAUCGACAACCUCUCCAUGUGAGGGUACUUAGGUUUACUAAGUUCUUUAUCCACAAGGCAUUUUCUAAGGGAUUCACCUAUCCCUAGGUUCUCAAACCUCUAGUGUCAAAUACACUACAUUAAUGCCACUCGAUAUGUUCUUGUUUUCCAAAGUCAAUUUCUCUAAUCGACCAAGUUCAACAUGCAUAAUUCAUCUACUAUGUUCCACAAUAUGGCAACAUGUAUAAUUCUUCUAUCAUAUGCAAUAUAUGUCAUCAUGUAUAUGUUUCUAUUUAACAUAAUCCACAAUAUGUUAAUUCACAAUAUGUCAUCAUGCACAUAUAUUACUAGCAUCACAUGAUAUGUCAACAUACAUAUAAUCAUCAUCCAAAGUAGUCUAUACUUAGCAUCUCAUGCAAUCUUUUAGCUUUUAAUUCAUUAUACAUUUCAUCUCAUUUGUAGGUAAUAUCAACUACAUAGUAUGUUUCAAGCAUUCAUAUUAUCAUGUAAGCCUACCAAUACACCUAUAUGCAUCAAUGUGAAUUCGUAUGUUUCUUAGACAUAAAGGGCGACCUAGUCGCUUCGGUAAGCACAACCCACCUCAAAUCGCUUUCCGAUUGCUUGUCGACACUUGCAAUCGGCCUCCCGUGGCACCCUUGUCCGGUUCGGCCCGAUUUUGCUAAUACUCACCAACCGUGCGUCGAAUUGCGGCUUCGAAAAUUAUAGGUCUUCGGUUUUCUGCCACGGUGCUCCAAAUCCAUUUUCAUGAUUUUACGAUGUCGCCUCGGCCCUCCCGGCGGAAACGAAGCCUAACGUCCGUUUCUUUAAUAACUUCACAAUGGCUCGACGAAUCGCCGAACCGACUUCGCCAACGCGUUCGUUUACCUAGCAAUUAGGUUUACGAAGGGUCAAAUUAGAUCAAACCCCCAUAUUUUACAAAACUCCAUUUUUGAGCCCUAGAUUACAACUAGGUAAAAAUCCACCAUUAAUUCUCUAGAUUCUAGCAUUUAUCCUCUAUUUAGCAUGCUAGGAUUUCAAAUAAACUAUUUUUAGAGAAUAUAAAUGAAGCUCUAAAGAUCUACCAUGAGAGGACAUCAAAGCUUACCUCUCAAACAAGCUCCAAUGGAGAGGAAGAAGACGAUGAAGAUGAAAAUCCAUCUUUAAGCUUCAAUCUCCACCAAAACCACCUCUUUUGGGAGAGAUUUAGAGAGAGAAAGGGAGGUCUCUCUCUCCCUCCAUGCAUGCGUGUGUGUGUGUGGCGCAUGUGUGUGUGUGGCUACACGGUUGGGGGAGAAGAAGAGCAAUGCUCUUUUAUACAUUAACACCCAAAACACUAUUCACUCCAUGCAGUUUAGCAGUUCGGAACAGUCGGAGCCCUUCUGAAUGUCCGUUUGGGCUCAAAUUUGAUAGGCAGGCUCGGUUUAACGUAUUGAGUAAGAAUAUAUCUUAAGUUUUCAGUUUCGACCCCGUUUGGUCACUGAAAACUAUACCGAACUAUAAUCUUUAUCAGAUAGCUGUCGGAUUUUAUUUUCCACCUUCUGGAUGUCAGAAUGAUAUGAAACUUGAAAUCUAGCCUCAUAAAAAUAAUUCUGACAUAUCCUUCAGUUUUCAUAAUUUUCUGACACUGUGCAUUUUCUGCUAAUUUAUCUGCCCCGUUUCUCACAGAAAAUUCUAAAUCUUCUGUUUUCGCUCCUAUUUCAGUACAGGUCAUUUCCAACUUAUAUUUCACUUCUCUAAAUCCAAUAAAAAUAGUAUUUAAUACUAUUUUUAUUUAUUUUUUUUUUUAUAUUUAAAAUCCGGUAUAUUACAUUCCACCGCAACCUCACCGGAACCAUUCAAAUGGCUUUCCAACCAAAUGUACACCGUAACUUCAUAAUUUUAGAAGUCCGGUACCUCACAGGAGCGACCUCCCUCAAGCCAAAACCCAAUGUGAGUAAAAUCUCAUCGUCAUUUGGAGGAUACAUAGCCACACUUUCUAUCUUAGCCACUAUAUCAAUGAUAGGUUUCUACCUUAUCAUAUUUGCCACUUCUAGGUUAUUCUUGUCAUUAUGCCACUAAUGGUUAAACCUUGUUUAACUAUUCUUUUCUCGAUGCCAAUCUUGUCUCUAUUGUCAUUGUCACCUUUGUUUACUAUUAGCAUAGUCUCGGUCUCACAUUCACACUAGUAUAUGGUCCAGCAUACAUGUCCUCGAUGGUUCAUAUCAAUCUCUAUGUUCAUCUACAAUAGAAACACGUAAUUGAAACUCAACCAACAUUAACAUGUAAAUUACCCUAUCAUGCAUAAAUGACUAUUGACAUAUAUGCUCAAUAAAAAGGUGAUAUAGACAUAAAGGGGAAUCCAACGAUUCCGGCGUGCACCCCCCACCUCGUAUAGUAGUCAAGGAGUUGGGGUCCAACUCCCGUGAUUUUCGGAGGCCCAUUCGCUCGCAUGCUGAAAUCUGUGUUGAAAGUAAUGUUUUGUCAAUAUUUUUGCAUACACUCGUCGGAUUGUCGAACCGAGCGCACCAACGCAUUCGUUAUACCCCAAUUAGGUUUCUACAAGAUUUAUUUGCUUUUAAAUCAAUCUUGAACAACAGCCCCAUUUGGAGCUCUAACAAUGUCAUAUAGGGUUUUCUCCUAGAUUGAUCUCAUCUCUAAGCAAAUACUAGCUUAGAAGCAUGUAGGAAGCUCUCUAAUACCAUUUCCAAGCCAUUUAGACCAUUCCUAGGGCAUCUACUUUAAACCCUAGGAGUUCACCAUGAGAGCUCAUGAGAUACACAUGAGUUUCAUUUGUUUCAUGGCCUCAAGAUGGUUUCUAGCCUUGUAGGAAGUUCAAAUCCCAAAAACUUAGGGUAUAAAUCCAAACCCUAGAGCCAUUCUUGCAAAAGGACUCACCUUAGCCCUAAGCAAUCCAAGGUCCACCUUGUAGGAGAGAUCCAAACCCUUCAAAGCCACCAAAGUCUCCUCCAAUCUCCUUCUUCUCCUACUUCUCCUUGCUCAAGAGCAAGAUCUCUAGAGAGAGAAAAAGAAAAAUGAAAGAGAGAUGGGUGUUUGCGGUGUAAACAUGUGGGAGGGGGUGUUUUGGGUUGUAUAAGGUUGUAACAAUAGCAACUAAGCCCCCCAAACACUCAUAAUUGCGGCAGACCUCAAUGUUGCUGCUAGACCAAACUGUAUCGGUACAAGGGUUUUUGUACCGGUACACAUCUGCGCAAAGGCCAAACCCGAGAGCAGUUUUCUCGGUUCGCACCAUUUGUACCGGUACACUUUCAAUUUGUUCUGGUACACAUUCAGUUCUGGUCAAACCCGAGAGCAGCUACUCCUCGGGUUGCUUGCUGUGCGGAUACAACCAUCAACGUUGUACCGUACACUUUGCUCUAGAAUGCUGUUUUGGCUCCGACUCGACUCUACUUCGCAACGGUCGAUGCUAAAACCUUUCUAACUCUUUUAAAUUUAUCUUUAACCAUUCCAACAUAGUUGGAAAGCUAAUUGGAAUUUGUCCAACCAUUUCUCUCGGCAUUUUAACCCAAUUUUGAGUAAAGUUCGAUAAUCGCUAUCGGGUUUCAAUAUGUUACAAGCUCGACCCACCAGGUCCAAAGGAGGCACUACAAACAUGUUAGUCCAAUAGAUAUAUAUAACAUCAUAUAAUUCAUGCUCAUGCCUCACAACAUGCAACUAUGCAAAUAAUGCAACUUAUGCAAGUAGAUUAAUUGAUUAUACUCUUUAUUCUUAGCCAUUCUUUACUCUUAGCCAUUCUUUAGUAUUAGCCAUUCUUUAUUGCUAAUCAUUCCUUAUUCUUAGCUAUUCUUUAUUCUUUACUAAGGGUACUCACACCUUAGUCAUAUUAUGCUUAUUUGCCAUUCUUUUCUAAGAUUACCUUUACCUUAGCCAACUAUGCUACUCGACUAGGUCUUGAGUCAAUCCUAUGCGGAAUACCGCGUAAUCUGCUGCAUCCACAGCCCACCGCGCUCCUUGACUUAGCCACCUGGCGGCGAAAUCGUCGC